rnacentral:rRNA from 1 species
GAUGAACGCUGGCGGCGUGCCUAAUACAUGCAAGUCGAGCGAACGGACGAGAAGCUUGCUUCUCUGAUGUUAGCGGCGGACGGGUGAGUAACACGUGGAUAACCUACCUAUAAGACUGGGAUAACUUCGGGAAACCGGAGCUAAUACCGGAUAAUAUUUUGAACCGCAUGGUUCAAAAGUGAAAGACGGUCUUGCUGUCACUUAUAGAUGGAUCCGCGCUGCAUUAGCUAGUUGGUAAGGUAACGGCUUACCAAGGCAACGAUGCAUAGCCGACCUGAGAGGGUGAUCGGCCAAACUGGAACUGAGACCAGGUCCAGACUCCUAAGGGAGGCAGCAGUAGGGAAUCUUCCGCAAUGGGCGAAAGCCUGACGGAGCAACGCCGCGUGAGUGAUGAAGGUCUUCGGAUCGUAAAACUCUGUUAUUAGGGAAGAAAAUAUGUGUAAGUAACUGUGCACAUCUUGACGGUAACUAAUCAGAAAGCCACGGCUAACUACGUG